rnacentral:rRNA from 1 species
GAUGAACGCUAGCUACAGGCUUAACACAUGCAAGUCGAGGGGAAACGACAUCGAAAGCUUGCUUUGAUGGGCGUCGACCGGCGCACGGGUGAGUAACGCGUAUCCAACCUGCCCACCACUUGGGGAUAACCUUGCGAAAGUAAGACUAAUACCCGAUGAUAUCUCUAGAAGACAUCUGAAAGGGAUUAAAGAUUUAUCGGUGAUGGAUGGGGAUGCGUCUGAUUAGCUUGUUGGCGGGGUAACGGCCCACCAAGGCAACGAUCAGUAGGGGUUCUGAGAGGAAGGUCCCCCACAUUGGAACUGAGACACGGUCCAAACUCCUACGGGAGGCAGCAGUGAGGAAUAUUGGUCAAUGGGCGAGAGCCUGAACCAGCCAAGUAGCGUGCAGGAAGACGGCCCUAUGGGUUGUAAACUGCUUUUAUAGGGGAAUAAAGUGAGCCACGUGUGGUUUUUUGCAUGUACCUUAUGAAUAAGGACCGGCUAAUUCCGUG